rnacentral:rRNA from 1 species
AACGAACGCUGGCGGCAUGCCUAACACAUGCAAGUCGAACGAGACCUUCGGGUCUAGUGGCGCACGGGUGCGUAACGCGUGGGAACCUGCCCUUAGGUUCGGAAUAACUCCCCGAAAGGGGUGCUAAUACCGGAUAAUGUCUUCGGACCAAAGAUUUAUCGCCUUUGGCUGGGCCCGCGUUGGAUUAGCUAGUUGGUAGGGUAAAAGCCUACCAAGGCGACGAUCCAUAGCUGGUCUGAGAGGAUGAUCAGCCACACUGGGACUGAGACACGGCCCAGACUCCUACGGGAGGCAGCAGUGGGGAAUAUUAGACAAUGGGCGAAAGCCUGAUCCAGCAAUGCCGCGUGAGUGAUGAAGGCCUUAGGGUUGUAAAGCUCUUUUACCCGGGAUGAUAAUGACAGUACCGGGAGAAUAAGCUCCGGCUAACUCCGUG